UAGGUUAACGAGGCGAACCGGGGGAACUGAAACAUCUAAGUACCCCGAGGAAAAGAAAUCAACCGAGAUUCCCCCAGUAGCGGCGAGCGAACGGGGAGCAGCCCAGAGUCUGAAUCAGCUUGUGUGUUAGUGGAACGGUCUGGAAAGUCCGACGGUACAGGGUGAUAGUCCCGUACACCAAAAUGCACAGGCUGUGAACUCGAAGAGUAGGGCGGGACACGUGGUAUCCUGUCUGAAUAUGGGGGGACCAUCCUCCAAGGCUAAAUACUCCUGACUGACCGAUAGUGAACCAGUACCGUGAGGGAAAGGCGAAAAGAACCCCGGCGAGGGGAGUGAAAAAGAACCUGAAACCGUGUACGUACAAGCAGUGGGAGCACCUUCGGGUGUGACUGCGUACCUUUUGUAUAAUGGGUCAGCGACUUAUAUUCUGUAGCAAGGUUAACCGUAUAGGGGAGCCGCAGGGAAACCGAGUCUUAACUGGGCGUUAAGUUGCAGGGUAUAGACCCGAAACCCGGUGAUCUAGCCAUGGGCAGGUUGAAGGUUGGGUAACACUAACUGGAGGACCGAACCGACUAAUGUUGAAAAAUUAGCGGAUGACUUGUGGCUGGGGGUGAAAGGCCAAUCAAACCGGGAGAUAGCUGGUUCUCCCCGAAAGCUAUUUAGGUAGCGCCUCGUGAAUUCAUCUUCGGGGGUAGAGCACUGUUUCGGCUAGGGGGUCAUCCCGACUUACCAACCCGAUGCAAACUACGAAUACCGAAGAAUGUUAUCACGGGAGACACACGGCGGGUGCUAACGUCCGUCGUGAAGAGGGAAACAACCCAGACCGCCAGCUAAGGUCCCAAAGUCAUGGUUAAGUGGGAAACGAUGUGGGAAGGCACAGACAGCCAGGAUGUUGGCUUAGAAGCAGCCAUCAUUUAAAGAAAGCGUAAUAGCUCACUGGUCGAGUCGGCCUGCGCGGAAGAUGUAACGGGGCUAAACCAUGCACCGAAGCUGCGGCAGCGACACUAUGUGUUGUUGGGUAGGGGAGCGUUCUGUAAGCCUGCGAAGGUGACCUGUGAGGGUUGCUGGAGGUAUCAGAAGUGCGAAUGCUGACAUAAGUAACGAUAAAGCGGGUGAAAAGCCCGCUCGCCGGAAGACCAAGGGUUCCUGUCCAACGUUAAUCGGGGCAGGGUGAGUCGACCCCUAAGGCGAGGCCGAAAGGCGUAGUCGAUGGGAAACAGGUUAAUAUUCCUGUACUUGGUGUUACUGCGAAGGGGGGACGGAGAAGGCUAUGUUAGCCGGGCGACGGUUGUCCCG
rnacentral:rRNA from 1 species